AUUGAACGCUGGCGGCAGGCCUAACACAUGCAAGUCGAACGAGUGGCGGAAGGGAGAGCAAUGUCUGGGACACGGAGUGAUGGAGGGGGUUCGCUACUGGAAACGGUAGCUAAUAACGCAUACAUUCGGAUGUGCCCAGUUGGGAUUAGCUAGUAGGUGGGGGAAAGGCUCACCUCGGCGACGAUCCCUAGCUGGUCUGAGAGGAUGACCAGCCACACUGGAACUGAGACACGGUCCAGACUCCUACGGGAGGCAGCAGUGGGGAAUAUUGCACAAUGGGCGCAAGCCUGAUUCAGCCAUGCCGCGUGUAUGAAGAAGGCCUUCGGGUUGUAAAGUACUUUCAGCGGGGAGGCGUUACCCGCAGAAGAAGCACCGGCUAACUCCGUGCCAGCAGCCGCGGUAAUUC
rnacentral:rRNA from 1 species